AUUCCGGUUAGCUUGAAAGUGUUGCGCUGAGCUGGAUGUUCAACAAUGUAGAUCCAGGAAGCCUUCUUGAGAACAUACUGUUUUUGUCUGUCUGAAGCCUUAUGGACAUUUAUUUUUAUUCAUCUCUUGGUUUCAUGUCCUCCGGAGGCGCGCGUGCUGGGACGAACGUGGACGCCGAUGAGAGAGGAGGACUGUCCGGGUGGCUGUUGUCAACAUUACCGGGGAUGAAAUGCUCGUGUUUUUUCUGAAUCUCAUUCUCAGGCAUCGCAGUUAAUUCAACUUUCAAAAUGAGGAUCUUCGUGUCUCUGUUGAAAAACACGAACCCCAAAAUCGAGUAUUACUCCAGAUUUUCUCCGUCCCCGCUCUCCAUUAAGCAGUUUCUGGAUUUUGGCCGGGACAAUGCUUGUGAGAAAACGUCCUACAUGUUCCUGCGUAAGGAGCUGCCGGUGCGGCUAGCCAACACCAUGAAGGAGGUCAACCUGCUGCCUGACAACCUGCUCAGCCAGCCCUCCAUCCGGCUGGUGCAGAAAUGGUACAUGCAGAGCUUUGUGGAGCUGCUGGAUUAUGAGAACAGAAAGCCAGAGGACCCUCACGCUUUGAAUGAUUUCCUGGAUCUCCUGAUUGAGAUCCGUAACCGGCACAACGACGUGGUUCCCACCAUGGCUCAGGGAGUCAUCGAGUACAAGGAGAAGUUCGGCUUCGACCCCUUCAUCAGCAGCAACAUCCAGUACUUCCUCGACCGCUUCUACACCAACCGCGUCUCUUUCCGCAUGCUCAUCAACCAGCACACUCUCCUGUUUGGUAACGACACCAACCCCUUACAUCCCAAACACAUCGGCAGUAUUGAUCCCACCUGCAGUGUGGCGGAGGUCGUCAGUGACGCCUACGACACAGCCAAGAUGCUGUGUGAGAAAUACUACUUGGCUGCUCCCGAGCUGAAGAUUGAAGAGUUCAACAUGAAGGCCCCUGAUAAGCCCAUCCAGGCGGUGUACGUGCCCUCUCAUCUCUUCCACAUGCUGUUCGAGCUCUUCAAGAACUCGAUGAGAGCCACAGUGGAGCUUCAUGAGAACAGUGAGGAGGGAUUACCACCAGUGAAGGCUAAAGUCACUCUGGGUAAAGAGGAUCUCUCCGUGAAGAUCAGUGACCGAGGAGGAGGAGUUCCUCUGAGGAAGAUCGACCGUCUGUUUAACUACAUGUACUCCACUGCUCCGACACCGAGCCUGGAGCCCGGAGUCGUCCCGUUGGCUGGUUUUGGCUACGGUUUGCCGAUUUCUAGGCUCUAUGCCCGAUACUUCCAGGGGGAUCUGAAACUCUACUCCAUGGAGGGCGUUGGCACUGACGCUGUCAUCUAUCUGAAGGCCCUUUCCAGCGAGUCCUUUGAGCGGCUGCCCGUCUUCAACAAGUCAGCGUUGCGGCACUAUAAGACCAGCCCCGAGGCGGACGACUGGAGCAACCCCAGUAAAGAGCCUCGCGAUGCCAGCAAGUCCAAAUACAAAACCAACAGAUAACUCUGCUGACCCCGCUAACACGGCCCCCUGCUGGGAUCCCGAAUGCCCGCGCUCUGCCCGGAGCAUGCGCGAUGAAAUGUUGGGAAACGCUUGGUUUACGACUUGCUUUUACAUUCCUGUGGGUAAAGCUUUGGGAAAAGAAGGAUGACCUUAUAUUUGUUCCCAAUGACAUUCAUCAGCGUAGCUUUCAUUGUCGUGGAGUUAUUACCUGGUUCCCAAGUUUUAAAAUGAACCUCUUCUAAAUCCCCCCACAGUUAUUCAGUCAGGUGACUUGUGAAUCUUUACUAAUGUUGUCUUCUUUCCCCUCGAUCUGGCCAUUACUCACUGCAUCACCGUGACCUCUGUCUCCACACAGUUUAUUUGGCCGGCUCCUCUUUGCUGACGCGGCUGCUGCUCCCUGUGGCUGAAUCAGCCUCGCACUGCUGACUCCAUCUGAUGCGAAAAGAAAGGAGUGUAGAUGAAGAGUUCAUCACUGCCAAUGCCUUCGUAACCUGCCAGUCUCCCCGAGCGGCACACCGGCUGUAGAGGAAGUGUCCUCAGUCCUCUUUAUUUACAAGCCUCAGUUCACCACCUGUGAUAUAUAUUAUUAUUAUUAUUAUGUUACAUCACAUUUAACAUCCCGAGGAUCUUUCAUCUUCAGUCGUCGUCAACCUUUACUGUGAAAGAUGUAUUUAACUAUUAAUAAUGUGUUUGCUGUGCAGUGUGGAGCUCUCUUUUCCAUCCUACUAUACCUCCAGCUUCAACAAAUAUAUUUGUCUGCAUGAACCGCUCGCUGUGGAGGCGGUCACGCAAACAUAUGCAAUUAAUGCAACAUCCACGUAAAGCACAACGGUGAUCUAACAAUGUGAUUCAGCAUGAGAUCCACUCGGAACAACCCGACAAUAAAGAAAACUGUUGUGUGCGAUUCUAUGCAUCGUGUGAUUUGAUAAGAAGGUUAAAUGCACUUUUAGUUCACGUUCGGUUAUAGAUUUUUGAUUUUAUUUACAUAUCAAGCCGUUUGAACAUUGAAAUUUAAAAAAUAAAAAAAGACACACGUUCCCAAAGUUUGUACAUAUAGUGCAGAUUAACAUGUAGUGCGUACAGGACGUUAAGGUCUCUACAUUGCAUUAGGGUAUUUAUUGUAUUGUGAGGGUGGAAGAAAAGUACACAUUUCCAAUAAUAGCAACUAAAACACGAUGAUCGGCUUCUGGGGACCUGACAGUUCACCUGGAGGGCUUCAAUUAUUGUAUAUUUCAAGUAUCAUCAGAGUCCUAGAGAAAGGCUGCAUCUCCAAGUGUAGCCGGGAUUGAUUAACAGCUGACAUCAAAUUCCAAAGAGCAAGAAUGUCUGCUAAACAUUGAAAGAUAAAACAUGGCAAACUGUCAAAUAAUACAUGGCUUUUUAAUCGAUUACUGCGAGACGUGAUGUUUGUGAGGCCCACUGAACGACUUUGUGUUUUAAUGACAUGUGACUAGAACUUGGAGUGAUUACAUUGACUCUACUUUAGGUGUCAAAGACUUGGUUUACAUUCAAGAAGCUAAUGUUUGUUUUUCUCAUCACAAUCGGGGCGCAGUCCAAGUUUUCCAUUUUCUCAUGAACUUUACAACGAGGAUUAGUAAACUGUACAAC